GGGUUGUGAGGUUAAGCGACUAAGCGUACACGGUGGAUGCCCUGGCAGUCAGAGGCGAUGAAGGGCGUGCUAAUCUGCGAUAAGCGCCGGUAAGGUGAUAUGAACCGUUAUAACCGGCGAUACCCGAAUGGGGAAACCCAGUGUGAUUCGUCACACUAUCAUUAACUGAAUCCAUAGGUUAAUGAGGCGAACCGGGGGAACUGAAACAUCUAAGUACCCCGAGGAAAAGAAAUCAACCGAGAUUCCCCCAGUAGCGGCGAGCGAACGGGGAGGAGCCCAGAGCCUGAAUCAGCAUGUGUGUUAGUGGAAGCGUCUGGAAAGGCGCGCGAUACAGGGUGACAGCCCCGUACACAAAAGCGCAUGUGCUGUGAGCUCGAUGAGUAGGGCGGGACACGUGGUAUCCUGUCUGAAUAUGGGGGGACCAUCCUCCAAGGCUAAAUACUCCUGACUGACCGAUAGUGAACCAGUACCGUGAGGGAAAGGCGAAAAGAACCCCGGCGAGGGGAGUGAAAAAGAACCUGAAACCGUGUACGUACAAGCAGUGGGAGNNNNNNNNNNNNNNUGUGACUGCGUACCUUUUGUAUAAUGGGUCAGCGACUUAUAUUCUGUAGCAAGGUUAACCGAAUAGGGGAGCCGGAGGGAAACCGAGUCUUAAUUGGGCGUUAAGUUGCAGGGUAUAGACCCGAAACCCGGUGAUCUAGCCAUGGGCAGGUUGAAGGUUGGGUAACACUAACUGGAGGACCGAACCGACUAAUGUUGAAAAAUUAGCGGAUGACCUGUGGCUGGGGGUGAAAGGCCAAUCAAACCGGGAGAUAGCUGGUUCUCCCCGAAAGCUAUUUAGGUAGCGCCUCGUGAAUUCAUCUCCGGGGGUAGAGCACUGUUUCGGCUAGGGGGCCAUCCCGGCUUACCAACCCGAUGCAAACUGCGAAUACCGGAGAAUGUUAUCACGGGAGACACACGGCGGGUGCUAACGUCCGUCGUGAAGAGGGAAACAACCCAGACCGCCAGCUAAGGUCCCAAAGUCAUGGUUAAGUGGGAAACGAUGUGGGAAGGCCCAGACAGCCAGGAUGUUGGCUUAGAAGCAGCCAUCAUUUAAAGAAAGCGUAAUAGCUCACUGGUCGAGUCGGCCUGCGCGGAAGAUGUAACGGGGCUAAACCAUGCACCGAAGCUGCGGCAGCGACACUGUGUGUUGUUGGGUAGGGGAGCGUUCUGUAAGCCUGUGAAGGUGUGUCGUGAGGCAUGCUGGAGGUAUCAGAAGUGCGAAUGCUGACAUAAGUAACGAUAAAGCGGGUGAAAAGCCCGCUCGCCGGAAGACCAAGGGUUCCUGUCCAACGUUAAUCGGGGCAGGGUGAGUCGACCCCUAAGGCGAGGCCGAAAGGCGUAGUCGAUGGGAAACGGGUUAAUAUUCCCGUACUUGGUGUUACUGCGAAGGGGGGACGGAGAAGGCUAUGUUGGCCGGGCGACGGUUGUCCCGGUUUAAGCGUGUAGGUGUGUGUUCCAGGUAAAUCCGGUUCACUUUAACACUGAGGCGUGACGACGAGGCACUACGGUGCUGAAGCAACAAAUGCCCUGCUUCCAGGAAAAGCCUCUAAGCAUCAGGUAACAUCAAAUCGUACCCCAAACCGACACAGGUGGUCAGGUAGAGAAUACCAAGGCGCUUGAGAGAACUCGGGUGAAGGAACUAGGCAAAAUGGUGCCGUAACUUCGGGAGAAGGCACGCUGACACGUAGGUGAAGUGAUUUACUCAUGGAGCUGAAGUCAGUCGAAGAUACCAGCUGGCUGCAACUGUUUAUUAAAAACACAGCACUGUGCAAACACGAAAGUGGACGUAUACGGUGUGACGCCUGCCCGGUGCCGGAAGGUUAAUUGAUGGGGUCAGCGCAAGCGAAGCUCCUGAUCGAAGCCCCGGUAAACGGCGGCCGUAACUAUAACGGUCCUAAGGUAGCGAAAUUCCUUGUCGGGUAAGUUCCGACCUGCACGAAUGGCGUAAUGAUGGCCAGGCUGUCUCCACCCGAGACUCAGUGAAAUUGAACUCGCUGUGAAGAUGCAGUGUACCCGCGGCAAGACGGAAAGACCCCGUGAACCUUUACUAUAGCUUGACACUGAACAUUGAGCCUUGAUGUGUAGGAUAGGUGGGAGGCUUUGAAGUGUGGACGCCAGUCUGCAUGGAGCCGACCUUGAAAUACCACCCUUUAAUGUUUGAUGUUCUAACGUGGACCCGUUACCCGGGUUGCGGACAGUGUCUGGUGGGUAGUUUGACUGGGGCGGUCUCCUCCUAAAGAGUAACGGAGGAGCACGAAGGUUGGCUAAUCCUGGUCGGACAUCAGGAGGUUAGUGCAAUGGCAUAAGCCAGCUUGACUGCGAGCGUGACGGCGCGAGCAGGUGCGAAAGCAGGUCAUAGUGAUCCGGUGGUUCUGAAUGGAAGGGCCAUCGCUCAACGGAUAAAAGGUACUCCGGGGAUAACAGGCUGAUACCGCCCAAGAGUUCAUAUCGACGGCGGUGUUUGGCACCUCGAUGUCGGCUCAUCACAUCCUGGGGCUGAAGUAGGUCCCAAGGGUAUGGCUGUUCGCCAUUUAAAGUGGUACGCGAGCUGGGUUUAGAACGUCGUGAGACAGUUCGGUCCCUAUCUGCCGUGGGCGCUGGAGAACUGAGGGGGGCUGCUCCUAGUACGAGAGGACCGGAGUGGACGCAUCACUGGUGUUCGGGUUGUCAUGCCAAUGGCACUGCCCGGUAGCUAAAUGCGGAAGAGAUAAGUGCUGAAAGCAUCUAAGCACGAAACUUGCCCCGAGAUGAGUUCUCCCUGAGACUUAGAGUCUCCUGAAGGAACGUUGAAGACGACGACGUUGAUAGGCCGGGUGUGUAAGCGCAGCGAUGCGUUGAGCUAACCGGUACUAAUGAACCGUGAGGCUUAACCUUACAACGCCGAAG
rnacentral:rRNA from 2 species